GAGGGUAUAGCUCAGUGGCAGAGUGAGUGCUUAGCAUGCACGAGGUCCUGGGUUCAAUCCUCAGUGUACAUU
rnacentral:tRNA from 1 species